ACCCACCCGACCUCUGAACACACCUGAUUUUACCUGAUCUCUGAAGCUAUGCAGAGUCAGGCCUGGUUAGUGCUUGGAUGAGGGACAAAGAGCAAAAGGAAAUGAGAGUU
rnacentral:rRNA from 1 species